AAGGGAGAGUAACGGGUGGUUACUUACCCUCAGGCUCGGGAUAGUGUCGGGAAACUGACAGUAAUACCGAAUAAUAUCUUUGGAUCAAAGGUGUGAUUCCGCCUGGGGAUAGGACCGCUUUCUAUUAGCUUGUUGGCGGGGUAAUGGCCCACCAAGGCUGCGAUGGAUACCGGGUGUGAGAGCAUGGCCCGGCUCACUGGGACUGAGACACUGCCCAGACACCUACGGGUGGCUGCAGUCGAGAAUCUUCGGCAAUGGGCGCAAGCCUGACCGAGCGACGCCGCGUGCGGGAUGAAGGCCUUCGGGUUGUAAACCGCUGUCAGUUGGGAGGAAGGCGCUGUGAAGAGCAGCGUUUGACCGAUCUUCAGAGGAAGGACGGGCUAAGUUCGUGCCAGCAGCCGCGGUAAGACGAACCGUCCGAACGUUAUUCGGUAUUACUGGGCUUAAAGAGUUCGUAGGCGGCCUAGCAGGUGAGGUGUGAAAUCCAACGGCUCAACCGUUGAAUUGCGCUUCAAACCGCUAGGCUCGAGGAUGGCAGGGGUGUUGGGAACAGAUGGUGGAGCGGUGAAAUGCGUUGA
rnacentral:rRNA from 1 species